rnacentral:snoRNA from 1 species
CCAUUUCAAUUAGAAGUGUGGCUGAAUAACUCAGAAAGUCUGUGAUGUCAUCAGCUUUGUCUCUUGGUCUUGACGAGAUUGGAGUUAAAUAACAUCACAAAAUUC